rnacentral:rRNA from 1 species
UACGUAGGCAGCAAGCGUUGUUCGGAGUUACUGGGCGUAAAGGGUGCGUAGGCGGUCCUAUAAGUAUGGUGUGAAAUCUCCCGGCUUAACUGGGAGGGUGCGCUAUAGACUGCGGGGCUCGAGUGUGGGAGAGGAAAGUGGAAUUCCUGGUGUAGCGGUGAAAUGCGUGGAUAUCAGGAGGAACACCGGUGGUGUAAACGGCUUUCUGGACCAUAACUGACGCUGAGGCACGAAAGCGUGGGGAGCAAACAGG